ensembl:snRNA U6 U6 spliceosomal RNA
GUGCCUGGGCAGCACAUAUAUUCCAAACUGCAAUGAUCCAGAGCAGAUUAGCACAGCCCCUGCGCAAGCAUGAUAUCCAGGUUCCUGCAGUGCGGUUUAUUAAG